rnacentral:tRNA from 2 species
GGCCCCGUCGUCUAACGGUUAGGACGCCAGAUUUUCAAUCUGGUAACGCGGGUUCGAUUCCCGCCGGGGCUGCCA